ACGCUGGCGGCGUGCCUAACACAUGCAAGUCGAACGAAAAGAGGGAAAGAGCUUGCUCUUUCCGGAAUUGAGUGGCAAACGGGUGAGUAACACGUAAACAACCUGCCUUCAGGAUGGGGACAACAGACGGAAACGACUGCUAAUACCGAAUAAGUUCCAAGAGCCGCAUGGCCCAUGGAAGAAAAGGUGGCCUCUACCUGUAAGCUAUCGCCUGAAGAGGGGUUUGCGUCUGAUUAGCUGGUUGGAGGGGUAACGGCCCACCAAGGCGACGAUCAGUAGCCGGUCUGAGAGGAUGAACGGCCACACUGGAACUGAGACACGGUCCAGACUCCUACGGGAGGCAGCAGUGGGGAAUCUUCCGCAAUGGGCGAAAGCCUGACGGAGCAACGCCGCGUGAGUGAUGACGGCCUUCGGGUUGUAAAACUCUGUGAUCCGGGACGAAAAGGCAGAGUGCGAAGAACAAACUGCAUUGACGGUACCGGAAAAGCAAGCCACGGCUAACUACGUG
rnacentral:rRNA from 1 species